rnacentral:rRNA from 1 species
GUAGGGGGCGAGCGUUGUCCGGAUUUACUGGGCGUAAAGAGCGCGUAGGCGGUUCGUCGCGUCAGGUAUGAAAGGGUGGGGCUUAACCCCACGACUGUACCUGAGACGGGCGAACUUGAGGGCAGGAGAGGACCGUGGAAUUCCGGGUGUAGUGGUGAAAUGCGUAGAGAUCCGGAGGAACACCAGUGGCGAAGGCGGCGGUCUGGGCUGCAUCUGACGCUGAGGCGCGAAAGCGUGGGGAGCGAACUGAAUUAGAUACUCAGGUAGUCCACGCCCUAAACGAUGGACACGAGGUGUCGGGGGUAUCGACCCCCUCGGCGCCGGCGCCAACGCAGUAAGUGUCCCGCCUGGGGAGUACGGCCGCAAGGCUA